GAUCGCCUACGGGGGGCAGCAGUGGGGAAUAUUGGGCAAUGGGCGCAAGCCUGACCCAGCAACGCCGCGUGAAGGAUGAAGGUUUUCGGAUUGUAAACUUCUGUCGCGAGGGACGAAGAAUGACGGUACCUCGUAAGAAAGCCCCGGCUAACUACGUGCCAGCAGCCGCGGUAAUACGUAGGGGGCAAGCGUUGUCCGGAUUUAUUGGGUUUAAAGGGUGCGUAGGCGGAUUGAUAAGUUAGAGGUGAAAUGUCCGAGCUCAACUCGGGAACUGCCUCUAAUACUGUUGAUCUAGAGAGUAGAUG
rnacentral:rRNA from 1 species